ACUCAACGAGCUUUUAAUUAAAAGGGGUGAGUUUCUUUUGUAAAAGCAUGCUGCCUUGAGCAGAUCCUUGAUCAAAGGUGUAGCCCCAAACUUGUUUUACAGGAGUUU
rnacentral:sRNA from 1 species